rnacentral:rRNA from 1 species
GAUGAACGCUAGCUACAGGCUUAACACAUGCAAGUCGAGGGGAAACGAUAUUGGAAGCUUGCUUCUGAUAGGCGUCGACCGGCGCACGGGUGAGUAACGCGUAUCCAACCUGCCCAUCACUUGGGGAUAACCUUGCGAAAAGUAAGACUAAUACCCAAUGACGUCUCUAGAAGACAUCUGAAAGAGAUUAAAGAUUUAUCGGUGAUGGAUGGGGAUGCGUCUGAUUAGCUUGUUGGCGGGUAACGGCCCACCAAGGCGACGAUCAGUAGGGGUUCUGAGAGGAAGGUCCCCCACAUUGGAACUGAGACACGGUCCAAACUCCUACGGGAGGCAGCAGUGAGGAAUAUUGGUCAAUGGACGAGAGUCUGAACCAGCCAAA